UGGCGGCAGGCCUAACACAUGCAAGUCGAGCGGUAGAGAGAAGCUUGCUUCUCUUGAGAGCGGCGGACGGGUGAGUAAUGCCUAGGAAUCUGCCUGGUAGUGGGGGAUAACGUUCGGAAACGGACGCUAAUACCGCAUACGUCCUACGGGAGAAAGCAGGGGACCUUCGGGCCUUGCGCUAUCAGAUGAGCCUAGGUCGGAUUAGCUAGUUGGUGAGGUAAUGGCUCACCAAGGCGACGAUCCGUAACUGGUCUGAGAGGAUGAUCAGUCACACUGGAACUGAGACACGGUCCAGACUCCUACGGGAGGCAGCAGUGGGGAAUAUUGGACAAUGGGCGAAAGCCUGAUCCAGCCAUGCCGCGUGUGUGAAGAAGGUCUUCGGAUUGUAAAGCACUUUAAGUUGGGAGGAAGGGUUGUAGAUUAAUACUCUGCAAUUUUGACGUUACCGACAGAAUAAGCACCGGCUAACUCUGUGCCAGCAGCCGCGGUAAUACAGAGGGUGCAAGCGUUAAUCGGAAUUACUGGGCGUAAAGCGCGCGUAGGUGGUUUGUUAAGUUGGAUGUGAAAUCCCCGGGCUCAACCUGGGAACUGCAUUCAAAACUGACUGACUAGAGUAUGGUAGAGGGUGGUGGAAUUUCCUGUGUAGCGGUGAAAUGCGUAGAUAUAGGAAGGAACACCAGUGGCGAAGGCGACCACCUGGACUAAUACUGACACUGAGGUGCGAAAGCGUGGGG
rnacentral:rRNA from 1 species